rnacentral:rRNA from 1 species
GGGAGGGGGCUACAUACCAUGCAGUCGUACGGGGCAGGCACUUCGGAUGCUGACGAGUGGCGAACGGGUGAGUAAUGCGUAGGAAUCUGUCUUUUACUGGGGGACAACCCAGGGAAACUUGGGCUAAUACCGCAGGAGCCCUGAGGGGGAAAGCGGGGGAUCUUCGGACCUCGCGCUAAGAGAGGAGCCUACGUCCGAUUAGCUAGUUGGCGGGGUAAAGGCCCACCAAGGCAACGAUCGGUAGCUGGUCUGAGAGGACGACCAGCCACACUGGGACUGAGACACGGCCCAGACUCCUACGGGAGGCAGCGGUGGGGAAUUUUUCCCAAUGGGGGCAACCCUGACAAAACAGUGCCCCGUGGAUGAAGAAGGCCUUCGGGUUGUAAAGUCCUUUCGUGGAGGACAAAAAGGUGGGUUCUAAUACAAUCUGCUAUUGACGUGAAUCCAAGAAGAAGCACCGGCUAACUCCGUGCCAGCAGCCGCGGUAAUACGGGGGGUGCAAGCGUUAAUCGGAAUCACUGGGCGUAAAGGGUGCGUAGGCGGUACGUUAGGUCUGUCGUGAAAUCCCCGGGCUCAACCUGGGAAUGGCGGUGGAAACCGGUGUACUACAGUAUGGGAGAGGGUGGUGGAAUUCCAGGUGUAGCGGUGAAAUGCGUAUAGAUCUGCAGGAACAUCAGUGGCGAAGGCGGCCACCUGGCCCAAUACUGACGCUGAGGCACGAAAGCGUGGGGAGCAAACAGGAUUAGAUACCCUGGUAGUCCACGCCCUAAACGAUGAAUACUAGAUGUUUGGUGCCUAGCGUACUGAGUGUCGUAGCUAACGCGAUAAGUAUUCCGCCUGGGAAGUACGGCCGCAGGUUAAUACUCAAAGGAAUUGACGGGCGCCCGCACAAGCGGUGGAGCAUGUGGUUUAUUUCGAUGCAACGCGAAGACCUUACCUGGGCUUGACAUGUCCGGAAUUCUGCAGAGAUGCGAAGUGCCCUUCGGGGAAUCGGAGCACAGGUGCUGCAUGGCUGUCGUCAGCUCGCGUCUGUAAUGUUGGGUUAAGUCCGCAACCAGCACAACCCUUGUUCUUACUGCCACGGAUUCGGCCGACACUCUCAGGCAACUGCGCGACACCCGAGGAACGCGGAAUAGAUGAGUGCUCAUGCCUUACUCCGGGGCUCU